rnacentral:lncRNA from 1 species
AAGAUAUGGAGGUGCAGGAAGAAACAGUCCAAAUUGAAAUGGCACGGCCCAGUGUGAUACAAUUUACAAACUAUCACUUUCCAAUUCAAAUUUCGUGGACCCCACACUAAAAAUCUUCAAUUGCUAAAAGUCUCUCUCUUGUGGGUCCCUCACUUCAAGUUACGGUAUCAAACCAAUGAGAUACUCCAAAUCAACAAUUUUAAAUGGAUCCCACCGUGUAAGUGCCAAAUUCCAAUUCAAUAAUCUUCACUGGCUGUACAUCCAAUUUCUCACCAUUCAAUCACUGCACCAUUAUCCUAGCUUCUUUUUAUUAUUUUCAGGAAGCUCUAUUCUCCUUCACUGCAAUGACAAUUGAUAACGGUUUCAAGUACAUGACAAAUUUUAAACACGCAUUAGCUGCUCAUAAGAUCAACUUGCACCACAAAUUUUCGUUGCACUUCACCAAAUUAUAUCAAAGAACAGAUUCAAUUGUUGACCAAUUUGACAAUUCUCGCUGCUUCAAGUAAUUGGAAAAUACCAAUGUAGUUGCAGCACAAAAAUCAGAAAAGAAAAACUCUGCACCAAAUUAAUCAAAAUAGUGAACUCCUAUUGCAUAUAAUUUUCGGCUUCAACUUUUUUUUGUUGUUCUUAGCUUCACCUCUAUUUGUUGUUCUGUUAAAUCAACUCUGUAUUAUAUUCAAAUUAAAUCUUCAACUUAGAACACCAGCUGUUUGUAAAAAUGAUUGUAUGAAUUCAUCACUAAUUCAAUCAAUUUGGCACCAUCCAGACAAACAAACAAAAACUGUGAUUCUUCAAUUGAAAUGUAUCAUCAUUGUUUUUAAAAGAGAUUUCAGAAAACAUUGAAUGUCAACUGGAGUGGUUCACUACUCUAAUCUCAAACGAACACUGCUUUCACUGUCCAAAAAUGAAUAACAAUUCUGAUUUCAACAAUUCAAACAAUGUUCCUGAUAGAAGAGGCCCCAACAACCAAAAGAGCGUCUAGGACCAACCUUGCAUGAAGGGCAACCACAAGAGCAUCUAGGACCAACCUUGCAUGAAAAGCAACCAAAAGAGCGUCUAGGACCAACCUUUCAUGAAAGGCAAGGACAAGAGCGUCUAGGACCAAGGCAAGAGCGUCCAGGACAAGGGCAAGAGUGUCUAGGACCAAUCACAAGGUCCAUGUCCAAGAGAGUGGAAGAAGAUUUGGAUCAAGCUACGGAUGGGGGAGACAUCAUUUUAUAUAUGUUCCAAGAAGGCCCAUCAAGUGUAGCCUAGUUUAAUUGUGGUGUAAAUAACAUAGCAUUGUGAACCUUUGUUUAAAUUCUGCAAAUUAUGAUUAAGAAAGGUUUAAACUAGAUUAGGACCGGGUUAGGAGGCCAUAUGCUCCCAUGUGCCAUGUGCUCCAUGUGUUUCCAUGUGCUCACACUUGCAUGUAAUUUGGCUAACAUUUCAUUUGUAUUUGGCUCUUCAAAUCCUAUAUAAGGAGGUGUUUGACUUUCAUUUUGUAAGAUUAAAUUGAGUAUUGUUAUGCUGCCAAACUUGAGUCAUACUUUACUCCCUUGCCUAAGAUUUAGGUCUUAAUCUUCAAUUCUUUCCCCUUCCAAAGGGACUGGCCGAACCUCCCUCAAUUUCCCUACUCUCAUGCACCUCCAAGGCAGCCACACCUCCUAAGAGGUCCUUGAUCCAUCAACUAACCGCAAAGCUUCCGCAAACCACCCAAAAACCACAAAAGAGAAGAGCUCAAUGCUAUCAGUUCCUCUCCGCAUAAAUUCGUUUGGAAGAAGAAAUUUGUGAUGUACAGUCACAAUAGCCAAACACAGAACCGGAGAUUUCUGAAUCGGAAAUGAAAAAUGGAAGAGAGGCACUUACGUGAACUAAUUCAAACGGAUUGCGGAAGGAAUCAAAAUUUUGAAUUCUGUUUGUUGGAUCCAAAUCAUCAAUCGUACCAAAAUCUCAAGUAGAAUUUGAAAAUCGUUGCCGCAAAAACUCAGAAAAACAAUUUUGAUUUUCCCGGUCGUCUUCUCCGUUCACCGGGUUCGCCGGAAAAUUGAAACUCCUCUGUUACUGAUUCUUCCAGCACCGCACCAAAUCUCAAGUAAAUUCGGAUCUCGACGGUUCAAAUCUCCUCACUGCAAUCACUCGUUCAGUGAUGUCACCGGAAUGGUUCCGUGUUUGCACCGUUUUCAACUUCUCCGUUUCAAUCUUGUUUUUCGGCUACCAAAUUGCGCCAAAAACUUAUGCACAAAAUGAUAAACGCAGAUGAAAAUUGCACAACUCAAGCAAAUCUGAAAAACGUUUCAGAUUGAUAUUUGAUCCUCCAUAACAGAUUUCAUGAACAUUUGAAAACAGAUUCAGAUAUAGUAUUCGCAGCACUGGAUUUGCUUUCUGCACCACGAAAUAUUUCGAAAAUGAAUUUUGGAGAAGAUGAUAAUGGAAACCUAACUUUAUAGACAAUUGCUAAUGCUAAUUAACUAAUGGAAUUUAUGAGAAUUUUUUGGACUAAAU